rnacentral:tRNA from 1 species
UGGGCUAUAGCCAAGCGGUAAGGCAACGGACUUUGACUCCGUCACUCGUUGGUUCGAAUCCAGCUGGCCCAGCCA